GGUCCUUUCGCUCUGAAGGGCUGGGAGACUACAGCCCUCUGUGCGCCGGGCUGGGCUGAGACUCUGCCCAGACAGCACAGAGCGGAGGCUGCUUUAGUUCCCCCAUUGCCGAGACCGGCAGAAACAUGACAAACAGAGAAUCUGGCAGGAUCCCACAGCUGCUUUCCUGGCCAUACUGCCUUCCUUUUCCGGAACGCUGCGGCUGCUGGGGGCGCAUUUCCCCGGGGUCGGUGUAUCCGCAGGGAAUGCCGACUGGGAUGCCGGGAGUCGGCCCCGCCUCUCCAUGGUGACGCGAGAACGCUGCCGUGGCCGGGGAGCCGGGACAGCGGCAGGGACACCGCCGGGGCCCGGGAGCAGCUCCUCGGGGCUGGACACCUUCCCUGGAAUAAAAAAGCCCCGGGACCCUCCGUCCGUCCGGGGCGGCCCUGAGGGGGGUGAAGCCAAUGGACAAGGAAGAGGACAAAGAUCACACACCCCCAGACAAUGAGAGAAGCAGUACAGAGGACUGCCUGAAGAAAAAGGAAAAAGAAGCCAAGCGUGUUAUCAAAACUAUCCAGUGGACCACAGGCAACAACUUCACAGUGGAGAGAGGGCGACAGCAGAUUGAAGAACUCAUUUCUCGCUGCCCUCAAGUCACCUCUACUGGACAGAGGGAGUCUUAGUGUGAUGCCUUUGUUCGACAGACAUGGGACAUUCAUGAAAGCUGGCUUCACCACUCAGAAUUUCUUGAGGAAGAAGAACUGAAGGACAGCAAGAGGUACCAUUACAGAGCUUGCUGGGGCAUGCCAACACGCAGAAAACCCAUCCCAAGAGCAACAGCAAGCGUCUACUUUGUUAUAGUGAUCUCCAAACUCAAACCUGACACCUCGCCUGUGGAGGUUUUCUUCAGACUGGAGUCCAGCAGGCUGAUUCGCAGGCCAGAAGAGUGUCAGUUUAGAGAAAAGUGGCUUCAGGACAUUAUUGAAAAUAAAAUAAUCCUCAUAGAAAGACUUAGUUCCCAAUGAGCAGCUCCAAUUCACCAUCACCAAUGCUCCGUUUUGGAGAACCAAAUAAACACAAUGAAGAAAGAAAGGCUCUUCCUUAGCAGCAUUUCUGCUUUGUGGAUACAUAAAAAGCAUUGAACCUGUGCCAAAUCAAUGAUGCCCUGACAUGGCAGUUGGCUUUAUGGGACGGUUGCUGGCAGGUAUGGGUGGGUACACCAGGAUGGAACCAGGUUCUAGAGUGUAAAUGGGAAGAGACAGCUGGGAGGGAUUUGCUGGUCUGUGGAACUAUAGGGAAAACAUUAUAGGACUUUAGGACUUUUAUCUUCUUUGCACCAAUAUAUGGGACAUCUCUGCUGCCCAACUUAGGGGAACAAAAAAAAUAAAAAAAGGAUUUAGGGGAACAAAAGCCCUCUCAAAAACACUUCCUUUUUCUCAAGUGCUUUUAAAAACAAGUUCAAAGGGGAUAUGUUUGGAAAUAUGUGGUUGAAUCAAAGGUAACCACCACAUAAGCACUGCUUCAGCAAGGACUCCAAGUACAGAGCUUAAAGCAAACCAUGUAAUGCUGCUGAAACAGACCAAAUUAAAAUACUACCGGAGUUAAAAUAAGGUUUUAAUCCAGAACACUUUCAUAAACACAAACAUUUCAAAUAAAUUGAAAGACACAUCCUUGUUGCCACUGUAUACAUCCAGGGGUUCCAAUCACUGCACCCCACUGCUCUAAUGCCUAUGUAUAACAUAGGAGAAAAAGAAGCAAGCAACUUUGUUCUUCACCACAGAUUUCGGUGAAGAGCGGACCCUCCUAUUAUACCGUUACUUUACACCCCAAUUGCAAUCUGCUUGCUUUCAAGUAACUGAAGCCCAUCUGUAUUAAAUUACAAACUCAUUUACAGAAUAUUUACAAGUCUAGUUUGAACCACAAACCAAACUUCACUGUUUUGAGAAAAACCUAAAUCUAAAAAGACUUCUGAAGAAAUAGUGGACAGUCCUAGAUCUUAAACAGGAACUCAGGAGUUCCUUCAUUUUUGCUGCUGUUAGUAGUAGCUUGUUCGCUGUCUUUUCCAAGCUAAAUGAGUCUAUGAAAAAUCAAAAUAAAUGGAAUUAAAAAAAUGACACAUUGGUAUUAUGUAACAAAGCCCUUCUCACGGGAUCCUCCUGCUUGUCUGAUUCAAAGCAAGCGCAGAACAUUUGACACCUCUAAUCUUCCCUGUCUGUUCCUGCCUUCUCACCUUUCACUUUACAGGGAUUCCUUGUAGAUGGUGAACAAAUCACCCUAGAGAAUCUGAUGAAAGUAACUCUGUUUUCUUGACAGAAGUAAUCCACUCCUGGGGCCCGGCCCUGUUGGGUGAAAGGCGCUGCAGCACCUGCAGCAUUUUUCAAAUCACGACUGGAACAGGUCAGCUGCUGCGUGGUACAGUCCGUGCUGCACAGCUCAAACAAAGCAUUAUUUCUCCUCUUUGCCCUUAGUCUUUCUGUAGACCAUCUCCCGAAAGCUUGCGAGGAUCUUGUUCUCUCGUUUCCUCCUCUCCUCUUGGUUGAAGGAGGCCAGGGCUCUCUUCUCGUCUGCGCUGUAGAUCUGGUUCUCCUUGCGCAGACGCACAGCUUCCAUGCGCCGGUGUCUGUGGAGGGGAACAUGGUGUGUGUCAUCAUGGGCAGACUGCCCCGGUACAGCUUCCAUCCAUCAACUGGCCUGAAUGUUUUCAGGGGCUUUAAAUAAAGAUACCUGCACUACAAAGUCCGAACUUGCACACAAACCUUCCCAAGAAGGAGUGUGGCAGAGCAAGGAACUGACUUCUGGGCGUGUCUGCUCUCAGGCAGUGAGCCAGAAGUCCCACCUACCCCCAGGGUGUCAGCUGCUGGCUCACCAAAAUUUAAGUGAAAUUCCUGGAGGACUCAUAGAGCAAAAAGUGCAGCCAACCUCUCACACUUUGAUUUGUCUCCUACUGGCCAGCACAUCACCAGGGCUGUCCAAACACACCACCUGGCACAAGCAUCUCCUCAUUUGAAAUAAAGAUAAUGAGAAGUAUAUUACCUGGAAAGAACUUUUGCUCUUGAGGAGAAAGCAUCCUUGAAAACCUCACCAUCUGUCUACAGCAGUGGGGAGUUUGGUGUAGAUUAUUGCAAGCAUGCAGAGCACCUUCUCCUCCACACUUUCAACUAGAGCUUGGAAGCAGUCUUCCACUCAGCCAACAGAGCAAGCAGCUCUUGAAAACGUCACUGAACCACUGCCAUCAUCAAAACCAUACCUGCUGCCACUCAUGACGUAACCAGAGCUCUCAAACGAUGCGAUCUCUUCACUGGUUAAACCGAUCUCGCCUCUCCGGGGAAUACGUUUUCCUGCUUUUACAUACUCUGCCAUUGCUGCACCUUCACCCGGCAGGAGGGCGUGUCCAUAGCUAAAAAAAAAAGGGAGGAUUGCAGUCUCAAAUACAGAGAGCCUGAGCUAAACAUCCUGCUUCCCUGUUCACUACCAGAUACAGCUGCAUUUUUAAACACAUUCUUUCCCACAUGUUGGCCUGUUCUUUCCUUAUGGCUAACACCAGCAAAAACAUCUUAAAUUACCAGUUGAGUCCAUUCUGAUUAAACAAUGAAGAAGACACUACAAAGUCACAACACUGCAGAGCAUUAGAAUAAAGGUACCUUACAAAUGAUUUUCUAGGAAUCAAGACUAAGAAGCAUAAACCAGACUUUUCUACCCAAAUUCAGGCCAGGGGAAAGGUUAGCACCACUAGCACUUUUGUUUGCAAGUUUCUGGCACAGCAUUUCUCCCUCUGCAUGCCAUAUUGUUGUAACAGCCCUUUUGAACAGUAACUUUCAUGCUUGAUUUACUUGAUUUGAUCAAAGCACUGUUAGAGCUGGCUACUCACUUCAAAGGCCUGUCAUCCUGAGACGCAUGAGUUUUGGGAGCCUCUGGUCCAAUCAAGCUAUCAGCUUCGGUAUUUUCUGCAACAGUCAAAUAAUGAGGAAGAUUGAUAUUGUGCCCAUUGUUCUUUGUUAUCAGGAGUGUUCCACAGGUCAGUAAGACCUAAGAGAAUUCACAAAAAGGACACUAAAAAGUUUCAAUCCAAAUGUAAAGUCAGGUGAACCUACUUGAUCUCUCAAUCCAGAGAUCAUCCCCUUGAACUGUUUCAUCGUCGGAAUCUUCGCUACUGGAAUCGCUGGAUUCCUUCCUGCUCUUCUUAUUUUUCUUUUUCUUAUACUUCUUCCUGUGAUAAAGUCAGACAGACAUACUAUUUACCAAAAUUUGCUUGGAAUCAUACUCAAAUAAUUAGUUUCUCAAGGUAACUUCUACUUAUGGGAAGACUGGCUGGCUGCGUACAGAUUGUUGUUUUAUAGAAAACACCUUACAGCAAAGCCAAGACAAUGUUACACCUUUCACAGAGCGUUAGAAAGUGGCUCUACACUUGCAGGGAGUUGUCUAUGCUGCACGAUUCUGUUGACUCAAAGAAAAUCCAUCAAAUUAAUAUUACUUGUCAGCACUUGCAGCCUGAAUUACCAGAGUGCUCAGACUCCCUCAGAGCCUGUGAAGAAGGUGGAGCUGCUCUCCAGCCAAAGAAGCCAGAACUACACGCAGCAACCUAGGCACUUACUUUUUGCUCUUCUUUUUCCUCUUCUUGCUUUUCUUUUUAUCUUCAUCUGAAAAAAAAACAACUAUAUCAUUAGCAAAAAGAGAUGAUUAGCUAUAACUAAGUAGUUUACUGUACUGAACUGCCUCCACCAGAAUGCCCUAGUACACACACAGCUUCUCAGACCUGACUGUUUAUAUAUCAAGCAAUACUAAGAAAGCAUUAGUAGAAAGCUACCUGCAGUAUUGAUGAAUAUAAGAACAUCUCAAAGAGAUCUCUAUGAUGAGAUACCCAAUGGAUGCUUAACUCAGAAAUCCCAUUUCCUGAGGCCAGACCUCAAGCACUCAAGGAAAAGGCACUACAAACCCAGCAAGAUGGUGAAGGAAAAGACCAUGGAUUGAUGCUGCAGCUCUGUAACUUCAGAACACUGCAAGCAUGCAAUAAAAGCCAGAAGUGUCAGUUUGUGUUCAGCCCUCACACACCAGCCAAAACCCUCCUGUCUUACCACUGGAGUUCUGCUCAGACUCCGACUCACUGUCGCUGUCCUCAGAAUGUUUUCUGCGCUUUCUUUUGGAUGCCUUACGUUUUUUCUUGUUUCUUUUCUUCUUUUUUUUUUUCUUUUCCUCUAGAAUGUUUUGAAAAUAUAACAUUAGAGAUCAAUCAACUAGCUCCAUAUGUACUUCCCAAUCUUCCCAAGGUAAUGCUCUCCUUUGAACUGGAGCCCACUCACUUCCAGCCAUCAAAACCAGUAACCCUCCAGCAAGUAACUGCAGCAGAUUCUAGACUUCAAUAGCUUCCCAUUUUCAAAACAAGCUGUGUAAGCCAAACAAAAUACCUUCUGAGCUGGAAUCCGAAGAACUACUCUUCGAUUUUGCCUCUUCAUCUUCUACUGGUGUAUGCUCAUCAGAACUGAAUAAAAAGAACAGUUUGCUAUUUAA